UACCCUUUGUGACAUACCUAUAACUGUUGCUUCGGCGGGUAGGGUCUCCGCGACCCUCCCGGCCUCCCGCCUCCGGGCGGGUCGGCGCCCGCCGGAGGAUAACCAAACUCUGAUUUAACGACGUUUCUUCUGAGUGGUACAAGCAAAUAAUCAA
rnacentral:misc_RNA from 1 species